rnacentral:rRNA from 1 species
UUGCUGGCGACCGGCGCACGGGUGAGUAACACGUAUCCAACCUGCCCUUUACUCGGGGAUAGCCUUUCGAAAGAAAGAUUAAUACCCGAUGGGAUAAUCAUUCCGCAUGGUUUGAUUAUUAAAGGAUUCCGGUAAAGGAUGGGGAUGCGUUCCAUUAGGUUGUUGGUGAGGUAACGGCCCACCAAGCCUUCGAUGGAUAGGGGUUCUGAG